AAAGCACCGAGGCUCCCAUGCUGUGACCAAUCAGUGUAUCUACUACUCUCGCCGUGAUUUAGGGGUCAUCCAUGAAUAACACUUCAAGCUGAUGAAUGGCUCUUGCCGGCUUUCGGCUCUGAUGAGGGGUCUGCCGGCCGCUGAUUGCAAACACUAAUGAACUUACAGCUCCAUUUGAAAUUCACACGCACCAACAAAGUGAAGGGGGUAGGCAUUUCGGGUCAGCUGAGUCACCCGAGGUGGUGGGAGAGCAAGACACUGCCUGGGAAGAUGGAUUCCUAGACAGAAGGGUGUAAUUAAGGAUUGCCACCCCCGG
ensembl:processed_transcript Gm19744 predicted gene, 19744